UACGGGGGGUGCGAGCGUUGUCCGGAUUCACUGGGCGUAAAGGGCGCGUAGGCGGCCUGGUCAGUCGGACCUUUAAGAGCGGGGCUCACCCCCGUGGUGGGUUCGGGACGGCCGGGCUGGGGCGCGGCAGAGGGGGACGGAAUGCCGGGUGUAGUGGUGAAAUGCGUAGAGAUCCGGCGGAACACCGGUGGUGAAGACGGUCCCCUGGGCCGAGGCCGACGCUGAGGCGCGAAAGCGUGGGGAGCGAACGGG
rnacentral:rRNA from 1 species